rnacentral:rRNA from 1 species
UACGUAGGUGGCAAGCGUUGUCCGGAUUUACUGGGCGUAAAGAGCGCGCAGGCGGUCGUUCAAGUCGCGUGUGAAAGCCCCCGGCUCAACUGGGGAGGGUCACGCGAUACUGAUCGACUCGAAGGCAGGAGAGGGAAGUGGAAUUCCCGGUGUAGUGGUGAAAUGCGCAGAUAUCAGGAGGAACACCAAUAGCGAAGGCAGCUCGCUGGGACGUUACUGACACUGAGGCGCGAAAGCGUGGGGAGCGAACAGG